rnacentral:rRNA from 1 species
CGGAGCUAAUACCGGAUAAUAUAUUGAACCGCAUGGUUCAAUAGUGAAAGACGGUUUUGCUGUCACUUAUAGAUGGAUCCGCGCCGCAUUAGCUAGUUGGUAAGGUAACGGCUUACCAAGGCACGAUGCGUAGCCGACCUGAGAGGGUGAUCGGCCACACUGGAACUGAGACACGGUCCAG